rnacentral:rRNA from 1 species
UGUGCCCUUGAGGCGUGGCUUCCGGAGCUAACGCGUUAAGUCGACCGCCUGGGGAGUACGGCCGCAAGGUUAAAACUCAAAUGAAUUGACGGGGGCCCGCACAAGCGGUGGAGCAUGUGGUUUAAUUCGAUGCAACGCGAAGAACCUUACCUGGUCUUGACAUCCACGGAAGUUUUCAGAGAUGAGAAUGUGCCUUCGGGAACCGUGAGACAGGUGCUGCAUGGCUGUCGUCAGCUCGUGUUGUGAAAUGUUGGGUUAAGUCCCGCAACGAGCGCAACCCUUAUCCUUUGUUGCCAGCGGUCCGGCCGGGAACUCAAAGGAGACUGCCAGUGAUAAACUGGAGGAAGGUGGGGAUGACGUCAAGUCAUCAUGGCCCUUACGACCAGGGCUACACACGUGCUACAAUGGCGCAUACAAAGAGAAGCGACCUCGCGAGAGCAAGCGGAUCUCAUAAAGUGCGUCGUAGUCCGGAUUGGAGUCUGCAACUCGACUCCAUGAAGUCGGAAUCGCUAGUAAUCGUGGAUCAGAAUGCCACGGUGAAUACGUUCCCGGGCCUUGUACACACCGCCCGUCACACCAUGGGAGUGGGUUGCAAAAGAAGUAGGUAGCUUAACCUUCGGGAGGGCGCUUACCACUUUGUGAUUCAUGACUGGGGUGAAGUCGUAACAAGGUAACCGUAGGGGAACCUGCGGUUGGAUCACCUCCUUA